rnacentral:rRNA from 1 species
UACGUAGGGUGCGAGCGUUGUCCGGAAUUACUGGGCGUAAAGAGCUCGUAGGCAGUUUGUCGCGUUGUUCGUGAAAACUCACAACUCAAUUGUGGGCGUGCGGGCGAUACGGGCAGACUGGAGUACUGCAGGGGAGAGUGGAAUUCCUGGUGUAGCGGUGGAAUGCGCAGAUAUCAGGAGGAACACCGGUGGCGAAGGCGGGUCUCUGGGCAGGAACUGACGCUGAGGAGCGAAAGCGUGGGGAGCGAACAGG